ensembl:lncRNA
GUAGGCGCGGGAAUGCCCACCGCGCGGCCUGCAGCUCCGAGCGCCCUUGCCCCGGCCUGAGGGGGUGGUGAGGCGGGAGGGGGGGGCGGUGCGCAGAGGCCGGGGCGGGGCGGGCCGGGGGCGGGGACCGGCGUAGCUGGAGGGGCCCCGGAGCUGGCCGGGCUGGGGGAGCGGGGAGUCGGGGGGGGGAGCGGCCGCCUCUGCUUGCCUCCUGGGUCUUGGGCCCGAGAGCCUGGAAAAUGCCUGCCCCGAGCGUCCGCGGAGGACGAGGAGGAGGCCGGGCGCCCGGGCUUGUUUCCCCACAUAGUCCUCGGGAACUUGUGAACCAGAAAGCUUGGCAGAGAAGCAAAUACCAACGUCCUGGAAGAACUGAGAGUCACGUCUGUAGGCGAUGAGGCUCUUUUUCCUUCCCCGCCCCCUGCCCAACCUUGGCCCGAGUUGGCCAAAGAAGGAUGUGUCACCAGCUGGGGGCUGCGGGCGGGAGCCCAGAGUUGCUGGGAGCGGGGUACCUGAGACAAAGGUAAUGGAGGCCGGGCUGACUACGCCUCUGCCUGCGCUCCAGCGCCCGGGGCUGGGGUCUCGCUGCAGCGCCAGCCCGGCCGCAGCUCGGAGGGACGUUCUCCUGGGAACUCUCGAUGGAAACCAGCUGGCCGUGCCUGGAGUUGAUGUUGCUUCUGAACUCUGCUGUGCUCACAUUAUUUCCAUUCCUCUCAUCCUGGUAUGGUGGCACAUGCGUGUAAUCCCAGCACUUGGGAGGCUGAGGCAGGAGGAUUGCCACAAGUUCAAGGCCAGCCUGGGCUACAUAGUAAGUUCAAGAUCAGCCUAAACUACAUACUCUGUCUUAAAAAAAAAAAGUCUUAUACCUUAUGUUUAUUGUAUCUUUUCUGUGUUCAUAUACACUAAUAUUUACCAUUAUACUUGCUGCAUAGGUUUGUAGUCUAGGAGCAGUAGGCUGUACCAUACAGUCUAGAUAUAUACUAAGCUCUACUGUCUAGGUUUAUGUGAGUAGGCUCAGUGAUGUUUAGGCAGCAUCAAAGUCUCAUAAUGAUGCAUUUCUCAGUGUAUCCCUGAUUUUAAAGCAGUAUGUAACUGCACUUUAAAAAUGAUGCUGUAAUAAUAUUAAUCUUCCCUUUCAGAGCCAUAUAAAAGAAAGGUCAACAUAAUCUAACCCUACACACAUACACACACACUUUUCCCUAAAUCCUGGUCCAAGAUAAGAGGCUGCAAAAAGAAAGCAUGUCUAGUUCUCAUUUUGCUCUUUGUUAUCUAUUGAUGGUUGCAGAGGGUAGGCUUAGGCCUGAUGUAUUACUUUCCCUCCAUUUUGCCAAUGGAGGCCUUUAUAGGGAUUGCCUAGCUAAGAACUUAUCAGUAAUUUUUUUUUUUUACAAAUAAUGCUCCUCCAGAUGUGUGGGUAUUAAACUACCUUUAGAUGGUCCAACUAAAGGCUUAAAGGUGUUACCAUGGAUGAAAGUGGCUGAGAUAGAGGAGAGAACAAGAUCAUAUAUUGUUAUGGAAAAAAGGGUCAAGAAAUUAACAGGCCAGGAUAUCAGAUGGGUUAUUUGUUUGGAUGUUGAAAUCAAUAAGAUUAUGACAGAAAUAGUGUUGGAGUGACAGCCAGAAGCUAAAAUUAUCAGGGAAUGAAACGGGUGACCUUGGAGAGCCAUAAAGGACUGCAGUAGGAAAGGUAGUAGAUGGUAGUGUCUGGUGAUAAUGUGACUCAAAAGUUUGGUGAUAUGUGGCAUUGAAUUUUUGGAGAGGACAAAGGGAAAAUAUCCUAGAAGUAGCAAUGAGGAAUCAGGCACUUGCCAGGCAUCAUGUUUGAAGAGUAUAGAUAUGAAAAAGAGUCUUUAACUAAAGGGGCUACAGGAAAAGCAUCCUCAGAGAAGAGUUAAGUUUAGUUUAAAUUAAGAAAAUAAAGGAAAUUGAGGAAAUCUUCUGAGAAAAAAUGUUCUGAUCUAGUUAAUGAUUUAAAUAUGAUUUCCCAAAUUUAUAGCCCAGAGCCCCCCCCCCCGCCAAACUCCAGGCUCAGUUCUCUUAACAGCCUUUUCAGUACCUUUACCUGAAUAUUUAAUAGACAUCCCAAAUGUGUCCAAAGCAGAACUGAUCUUACUUGCCUCUACCACUCUCCCACCAACACAUCUAUUCUUUCUGUACCCUUCCCUUCUCAGUUAAUGUCAGUUCUCAUCUUCUAGUCAGUCAGGUAAAAUAAAACAAUGCAUAUUUGGGGCUGGGGAUUUAGCUCAGUGGUGCCACCACCUGCCUCAAAAGUGCAAGGUCCCGAGUUCAAUCCUUGG